ACGACCAGUGUUGUUGUUCCAACGCCUCGGCCAAGUGGUGGUGGUCAGAUUGGAUGACGCUCACAUUUCCCCCCACCGAUAGCCAUCGUAUGAAUAAACAGGCAUUGUUACGCCACACGGACUAAUCACUACAUCUGGAUACACUGAUGAAAGAUUCUAUCUGGCAGCGCAGCUGUGUGUUGAUUCCUACGAAUCGGUCGCUGUUAUUGGAAACAAUUAAAAUUUUGGUUGGGCCGUUUUUUCUUUCGAGAGAAAGAGAAACGUAUAGGACACCGACCUACAUUCCAUUACGCAUUUUCCAGUGUUUGUUUUUUUGUUAAUGUUCAUGGCGAAUAUCAGCAGAAAUGGCGAUGAAAUCGUUUCGUUGAAAAGAAACGAGAAGCUCGACGCGUCGACAGAAAAUUGCGUCCAUCCCAAAAUACCGAAAAAGGGAACAACUGUCGAUCCUCAAUGAAUUAUUCAUGCGCGCGUUUUUCUCUUGAAAUUCUGCCCUUUCGGUACUGGCGGUACCCCUGGAAAAAAGCGACAAACUAAACCGAAGAAUUCUGUUGGCGAUUGAAACGUUGUUAACUAGACAACUCGAAGGUUAGAGAGUAGCUGAAUGCGCUUGUAGAUGGCGACGCUUGUUGGGUGCGGACGUGCGGGACUUGUAACUAAUAAUCGGAUGGGAAUGUUUGUACAUGAUAAUCAGAGACUUGCAUGGACUUUGACAACAAUGUUUCUGAAUUUUGAGGACAAGGUUGAACUUUAUAACUCGUUUCUGUCACAGCAUUUCAAUGAAACAUAUUUGGCUGAAAAACUUCGUUUUCUUGAAGUAGCGCAAAUUUUAAAAAUAAAAAAUUUUACAAUUUCAACCAUUGGCCGGAAUUCUCGCUGCUACUCGUUGUAAUAAACUCAAAGCUUCUUAGCUUCGAAGUCUCUUCUUAAACUUGCCAAGUCAUUUUUCUUUUUCAAGUUCGUACCGUACAAUAUUUUCGCUGUCGUGAUUGAACGUCUUCGCUAAACUCAAGAGAUGCUCAAGAUGUCUAAGCUAAUUUUAUCCAAGCAAAGUGUUAUACUAGA